UUUUUUUUUUUUUUUCUUUUUUUGGGAGACAUUAAAGAAGAGCUUUUGAUGCAAAGAAGAAUCCCUUGGCAUUCUUUUGGAUAGUUGGCUUAGUACCCUAAUUUUUUUACAUGCCCAUGCUACUAUAUGUUCAUUUGGUAUUGCAUAUUCAAUGAUUAUAUCUAGUUUUGCACACGAGAUGCACUAUCUUGUUGCCUUUUAUGGGGCGUUUAGUAAAAUGUUAAUAAAGAGUAAUUAUUACCCUACACUUUUAACCUCUUAUUAAUGUUGUUUGGACACUAUAAAAGGAUAAAUUAAUUUUUAACUUCCUUAACAUUUAACCCCUAAAGAGGGUUUAAAUGUUAAACUUAGGGAAGCUAGGUUAACAGAGCUUAAAAAAUGAAGUAACACCAUACUUUCAUUUAAAUUUUUUUAACCUCCUACCAAACACCAUAAUUAUGAGACCAUUAAUUAUUUUUAACCCAUUUCAACAAUUUUUCCUUUAAAACUUACAGGAGCAAGUAACACAUAACCUUCAAUCUUUUAACCUUGUAUCAAAUGCUUCCUUAGUGUUAAAAAUUUCUCCACUUGUAAGCAUAGCUUCCCCAAACUAAUAACCAAAGCAAUUAACACAAAAAUAUACAAACACAAUGGAAAAGCAUAUCUAAACCAAGUAUAAAGUUGCUAAAUAAGAAAUGCAAAUCAGGGAUAAAAAUAUUAAAAUACUAACACACUAAGAAUUUCCAAAAAUCAAUUCACUAAUAUAUAACAUACAAAUUAAUAUUAUUCGCCAUAAGAAACAAUAAUUCAAAUAGUUUUAAAUUUAAGAGUAAAAAACUAAUGGGGCCCUACGAAUGUAAGCAAGCGCUACAUGUGUAAACUAGAACAGGGUUCGAGUGUCCCCAGGUUAAUCCAACACUAACUCCUUUAGGGUCAUCAAGGAAUUUAUUCCAAUAAUUACAUAAUGCACAAUGAGAAAUCAAACAUGCACAAAGAUCAAUAGGAUGCCCACAAGGCCCAAGAUUGGAGGAAAA
rnacentral:misc_RNA from 1 species